rnacentral:rRNA from 1 species
AACGAACGCUGGCGGCAGGCUUAACACAUGCAAGUCGAACGCUCGGAGCAAUCCGGGAGUGGCGGACGGGUGAGUAACGCGUGGGAACGUGCCCUGAGGUAGGGAAUAACUGCGGGAAACUGCAGCUAAUACCCUAUGAGCCCAUAGCAAUAUGGGGAAAGAUUUAUCGCCUUGGGAGCGGCCCGCGUCGGAUUAGCUAGUUGGUGGGGUAACGGCCUACCAAGGCUUCGAUCCGUAGCNGGUCUGAGAGGACGAUCAGCCACACUGGACUGAGACACGGCCCAGACUCCUACGGGAGGCAGCAGUGGGGAAUCUUGCGCAAUGGGCGAAAGCCUGACGCAGCCAUGCCGCGUGAACGAUGAAGGCCUUAGGGUUGUAAAGUUUCUUUUGCCCGUGACGAUGAUGACGGUAACGGGAGAAUAAGC